AAUCCAUGAUGUGGGCAUUGUUUGAGCAUGCUAUUGUAUCUAUCCCAUGCUUCAAAUAAGGAUUAUGAAUCUGACUAUCUGAAGCUUGUAAUUGUUGGUUAGUCC